GAUGAACGCUAGCUACAGGCUUAACACAUGCAAGUCGAGGGACCGGCGCACGGGUGGGUAACGCGUAUCCAACCUUCCCGUUGCUAGGGGAUAACCUUGCGAAAGUAAGACUAAUACCCUAUGGCAACGGAUGGGGAUGCGUCUGAUUAGGUUGUUGGCGGGGUAACGGCCCACCAAGCCUACGAUCAGUAGGGGUUCUGAGAGGAAGGUCCCCCACAUUGGAACUGAGACACGGUCCAAACUCCUACGGGAGGCAGCAGUGAGGAAUAUUGGUCAAUGGACGGAAGUCUGAACCAGCCAAGUAGCGUGCAGGAUGACGGCCUAUGGGUUGUAAACUGCUUUUAUGUGGGAAUAGGUACCACAUGAAUAAGGACCGGCUAAUUCCGUGCCAGCAGCCGCGGUAAUACGGAAGGUCCGGGCGUUAUCCGGAUUUAUUGGGUUUAAAGGGAGCGUAGGCCGUCUUUUAAGCGUGUUGUGAAAUACUGUCGCUCAACGACAGAGGUGCAGCGCGAACUGGGAGACUUGAGUGCGCGGAAUGCAGGCGGAAUUCGUCGUGUAGCGGUGAAAUGCUUAGAUAUGACGAAGAACUCCGAUUGCGAAGGCAGCUUGCAGUAGCGUAACUGACGCUGAAGCUCGAAAGUGCGGGUAUCGAACAGGAUUAGAUACCCUGGUAGUCCGCACGGUGAACGAUGGAUGCUCGCUGUUCACGCGGCCAAGCGAAAGCGUUAAGCAUCCCACCUGGGGAGUACGCCGGCAACGGUGCAACUCAAAUGAAUUGACGGA
rnacentral:rRNA from 1 species